GAAAAAGCACUGGGAUGUUGGAUAACUCCAAACCCGUGAGGCAAAAACUCCUCAAAGAGAGAGGGUGGAGGAGGAGCAGAGCUCUCUGUUUUCAAAACAUCCCAGAAAAAUCUUGGAAGGAGAUCAUACAUCCCAUUUGUGCCUUCCUCUCCAGAAAGGAAGACUUUAAUCUGCAUAAAUUAAAACAUAAACUGGAUAAAUAGGCUCCUUAUUUGUAUUACUGUCCUUCAUGACUGUUUCUUCUUCGCAGGCCCCGUGAUGGCCACUGAGAGAGUGAGCAGGUGGAUGUUCUGCUCUCACUGAAGGUCAUGGAAGUGAACCCUGGAUCCAUGGAGUGACUCUGCCUCCAUGCUCAGCUGACCUGGGUGGCACUGGCCAUUUUUUGGCUCAGGUAAGGUAUUAUCUGUUGUGAAAGUGCAGAGCUGGAGUGUCAGGAACGAGUAGGAAUUGACUGUGAGCUCAGGGAGAAUGUGACAGGGAAGAAACCAGGACAGUGGAAUCCCUCAUCCUCCCAGUGCCUGGUUUUUCCUGUGUGUAUAAUGUGUGUCCAUGACCUUGCAGGUGACACCAAACCACGUGCAGCUCACCUUCUACUCCCUGUGCUGUGGGAUUCUUGUUUUCAUGACGUGGAUGCAGCUUUUUCUCCUGUAGUUUCAGGCAUAACUCAGUUCCUCAGAGUGCUCUCAGCACAAAGGUUGCUCUGCAUCACACCAAGAUAAGUGUGUCUGUUGUCCAAGGGUUACUGAGCAGAGCUGGGACUCGGCUCCUGGACCAAAUUUCCUGUUUUAAGAUCAACUUGGGAAUGUCCCAGCUGGCCUGUUGUCCUGAGCCCUUGAGAAUCCCUGAGAGCUGCAGUUGUGAGCAGUUCUGAGACUGAGCUGAGGGGGGCAAAGAUGCAUUUCCCACAACAGCCACUUGAAUCAUCAUUAAAACUUCCACCUGAAGCUUCUCAUGUCUCCUUCUCCAUCUCUUCAACAUGUUCAGUGAUUAUUUUCUUCUCCACAGGCACAAUCAUCAGCACUGCUGUUCUAUCAGGGACUUCUGGGAACUCCACCACCCCCAACCCCAAGCAGGGUUUGGCUGGAACCUGACAUCUGUAUUUCACCCUCAACAACAGGAGGUUCAACCAAAACUUCCCACAGGGCAGGUGGUGAAGAUCAACCCGGGGUGGUUUUUGAUGGGAUAUUUGCUGUAUGGUGUAAUUUUUUUAUCCACUUCCAUAUUGACAUUGGGAAGGUGACAUGUCAGGAGCAGAACACUUGAUGUGUCACUGCCCAUGGCAGUGAUUGUCACUGGGAAAGCCAAGGGGACAGCUGGGAUCCUG
rnacentral:lncRNA from 1 species